rnacentral:rRNA from 1 species
GACGUAGGAGGCGAGCGUUGUCCGGAUUCAUUGGGCGUAAAGAGCGCGCAGGCGGCUUGGUAAGUCGGAUGUGAAAACCCGAGGCUCAACCUCGGGCGUGCAUCCGAAACUGCUCGGCUAGAGGUAGGUAGGGGAGAUCGGAAUUUCUGGUGUAGCGGUGAAUGCGCAGAUAUCAGGAGGAACACCGGUGGCGAAGGCGGAUCUCUGGGCCUUACCUGACGCUCAGGCGCGAAAGCUAGGGGAGCGAAC